AUGCUCCUGCCAUGCACCAAGCCUGCCGACAGAUUAAAUAUAAAAGACGAACAGGACCACAGAUCAGGGGUGGUAAUUGCUAGAACUCCCCAUGAACGAACAAUGGUGGAGCUACUUUUCUUAGAACUACAGAACAGACCAAAAAUUCCCGAUGAUGACCAAAGUGAAGUUAGCAAUGAGUCGAAUCAUGAACACAGGGUUGAUACAAAAGGUCCUACAGUCUUUCCUCUGUUGCCCUGCUGUAAUCCUGCACCCUCUGGUACAGUCUCUAUUGGGUGUUUGUCUACUGGUUACUUCCCAACUCCUGUAGACGUACAGUGGAAUUCUGGUUCUAUUACAAGUGGAAUUAGGAACUUCCCAGCUAUACUUGGAAGCCAGGGCUUCUUCCACUCAACUAGUCUACUGACUAUCUCUGCAUCUGACUGGACAAGUGAUAAGAAAUAUGUGUGUAAUGUAAACCACAAACCAUCUGGUGUUAAAAUCGACAAAGAGGUUCCAGCAUGUUCUUCAGGACGUGAACCCAGUUCACCUACAGUAGAAGUCAUGCAGGCUUCCUGUGGUGAAAAAGGUUCUGUUGAUCUGGUAUGUUACAUUAGCGGAUACUCUCCUCUGGAUAUUACCAUACGAUGGCUGUUGAAUGGAGAGGAGACAUCUAUUAUCUCAUCUAACAGCACUCCUUACAAAGACAAUGAUGGCACCUUUGGGUCUUUAAGCAGAGUCAGUGUUCCAAAAAAUGACUGGAAUGCUGGAGAUUCCUACACAUGUAAAGUGAUUCAUCCAGCAACUCAGACCAGAAAAGAAGACACUAUAAAGAAGUGUCCAGUGCCAGAAAAUCUAGUUCCAAAGGUUGUUGUCUACCCGCCUUCUCCUAAAGACAUCUUAGUCACUAAACAACCAAAAGUAACCUGUCAGGUGUCUCAGUUAGAAUCUCCAGACACCUUAGUUAUCAACUGGAUCCGAGAGGAUGGCAAAAAAGCAUUGUCAUUUACUUCAGAACCUGAAAUAGAUUACUCUGGGCAAUAUAUUGUCAAAAGUACAUUAAAACUAAGUUUAUCUGAUUGGUCAAGUGGCAAAUCCUUCACCUGCGUUGUCCAAACCAGUGACCUUCCAUCUCCAAUAGAAAAGCAAAUUAAAAUGACAGAAGUUGAAACCAUAGAACCAGCAGUUUAUAUCUUCCCACCGCAUGCGGAUGAACUUUUAUCCCAUGACUUUGUUACUGUGACCUGCCUUGUUAAAAACUUCAAGCCUAAACCUAUUAAUAUCCAGUGGUUGAAGAAUAGCAUUGUCCAGGAUGAGGACUACUACAAAAACACUGAGCCUAUCCAGCAAGAAGAUGAAGAGACCUACUUUAUGUAUAGUACACUCACAAUUGAAAAAUCUGACUGGAACAGAGGUGCAACUUUAACAUGCAGGGCUAUUCAUGGCAAGAUCACUUCCAAAGACAUAAAGAAAUCUAGGGGUAAAUAAUUUUUGUGAUUUUCUCCCUGACCAGGCCCAAAUGCUUGUUGACUUGUCCUCCUAUAUAUUAUUUAGUAUCUGUAAACCAUUUUUUUAAAUCAGUUUGAUGUGUGGAACAUCAGCCACUAAUGUUUAGCGUCAUAAGGCGAUGCCGAUAUUAAGUUAGCAACAUUUAGUUGUGUUUCCAGUGUUUCUAGGACACAGUUAUGAAGCCUCAAUACCAACACAUAACACAGAUUUGAUCUUAACAUAUAGUAACUGCAUUGUACUAAUAUUAGCCAUCAUGAUUCUAACCAAUGUAUGUCAUGUAUAUCUACUCUGUAUCCCUUCUCGUGUGUCUGGUGUGUGGAACACUAGAUUUUGUCUUGUUAUGUCAUGCAUGCUUGUAUCUCAAUAAACUCUUGUUUAAGAUGAUAUUACUAA